rnacentral:rRNA from 1 species
UGGGGAAUAUUGCACAAUGGGCGCAAGCCUGAUGCAGCCAUGCCGCGUGUGUGAAGAAGGCCUUCGGGUUGUAAAGCACUUUCAGCGGGGAGGAAGGCGUUAAGGUUAAUAACCUUGGCGAUUGACGUUACCCGCAGAAGAAGCAACGGCUAACUCCGUGCCAGCAGCCGCGGUAAUACGGAGGGUGCAAGCGUUAAUCGGAAUUACUGGGCGUAAAGCGCACGCAGGCGGUCUGUCAAGUCGGAUGUGAAAUCCCCGGGCUCAACCUGGGAACUGCAUUCGAAACUGGCAGGCUAGAGUCUUGUAGAGUGGGGUAGAAUUCCAGGUGUAGCGGUGAAAUGCGUAGAGAUCUGGAGGAAUAUCGGUGGCGAAGGCGGCCCCCUGGACAAAGACUGACGCUCAGGUGCGAAAGCGUGGGGAGCAAACAGG